CGGGAAGUUCGAACGGACGUGGAAGAGCCCGCAGGUUGGGCCCAUGCACAGCAGCAGCUGCUCAGGGUCAGAGUUUCCUCGGGUUCUGUAUAAAAGCUUUGGUAGGUUCAUCCUCACGGUGAAGAUGUGUCUUUGUUAAUUUAGUCCAAGGUAAAGAAGAAUGGUUCUGAAAGUCUUGUACUUGCUCAGAAUGAAAAGAAUCCCCUAUGUCCCGAAGUUACCUAGUUAGGGAAUUUCUGGCUCCACACCAAGUCUAGCACAUUCCUAGUUGGUAGAGAGAGAGAGCUGGACACUUACCUUAGGGAAGAUAGAGAAAAGGCCUACUUGUUCACACAUUUACUGUAGGGGUGUUUACAGCUUAUCGAAUUUCCGAUUUAGGGUUUUGAAACCACGUUGAAAAGUAUAGGAAAGUCGUGGAAAUAGCAACUUCUUACUUAAAGUUGUGUAGAAAUAGGACUGGGCCAAAUUUAUGCUAAAGGUGGGAAAAGUGAAUCUUGUUUUAACAUUGUGUGUGCACAUCGGACACGCACAUGCAUCUGUUUGCUGCUGUGGGCUUGAAGUGACUUUGGGUGUAAAGGAGAUUCCUGGAAAGAAGUUGAAACUUGAAGUUUCUGCAGGAGUGAUUAGCUGAUUAGAACUUAAAUGACUGGGGAGAAAUUAUGUUGUUGACUGAUUAGUGAAAUAAUCAUAUGCUGAAGAGAACAGGAAGUACUUGUGUUUAGAAAAAAAAGUAAUUGCAGCAAAUGCUAAAUAUCUCAAAGUAGGCUUAGUAUCUCUAAGAUAAUUGAGGCCUUUGAGAAAUACAAAAGAAGAACCGAAGAGCAAAGAAACAAGCUGAAGUAAGGAGAGCGCCCCACUCCCCAGUCCAAGAUUUCUGCUGCCCUACAGGAGACAUGUUCUUGGGAAAGCAGCAUCUCUCUCAAUUCGUCGUUAAAGGUAUGGGUGUUGUUUAUAUGCUAUGUCAUAGACUCUGUAGCUACUUCUUAUAUGUUUCCUUGUUAUUACCAUAAUAUUUUCUCUCAUCUUCAUCUUCUCCCACAAAAUCAACCCUGAUGAUUCUGAUCUUUCUACAAUCAUCCGUACAAGUGGACUCUACUUUCUUGCCUUUUAGUCUUUCUCAGAACCAGACUUCCAACUCAAUAAGAGGUGUUACAAGAACAAAGUUACUAUACCCAGUUGAGUAAAAUGUCCUCUUUUCUAGUUCUUUGUGAUCUUCAGUUGGCAUUUUAUUGUUGGUAGUGUGCAAACCUCUACAGCCCAUAUCUGGCUUCUUCUCAGUUCUCAGAAUGUUUCCUGAUGAGUCCUCGGAGCACCAUGCUCCUCAAUAUAAUGGAAAAAAGUUGAAACUUUAAGGACUCCCAGAAAGACUAAGUUCAUCAUAAAGGACAACAGAAAGAGAAUGAAGCCAUUUUAUCGUAAUCAGUAGUAAAACUGGCCUAUCUCAUGUAACAGGAAGUGAAAGCCUGAAAAACUAAGGGAUUUGUCACAACUGAAGAAGUAGCUCACUCUUCAUUAUGAGGCAGCUGUAAGAUGAAGGCAAUGCUCUGCCCGAAUUUCAAGUCUUUAUCUGGAUAAAUCAGAUACACAGAUGUUUAUUGCUUGCUAACCUAUAACUGUUGAUAUGUAAUUUGACCAAGCCAGCCCAGUCAGUCAACAGGUUCUCCAGAGCAGGAGUGAGGAUUAAAAAGAAAAGAGACAAUUGGACAACAUUGUAUCGUGACCCCAGCCAGUUCUGAGGCUGAGGUGGGUUUAUUUUUUCCCAAACUGCUUUUAUACCAUUUUAAUUACAUGCAAGUAAUAAGGUUAGUUCUAGAUUGAGGAACAGCAAGCUAAUAAACACAAAUAGUCAAGGAACAAGCAAGGCAAUAAAGUCCUGUGGUCACUCCUACAAUCACUGUUUCUAAGGGCUUAACAGGAUGACCAAGAUAUCUGAGCCUACAUCCCUGUCCUAGCCCAAAGUCAGAUUCCUGCCUGAAGCCUACUUCUUUGUUCCAACCUGAAAUCAGAUUCUUGACUGAACUUCCUUCCCAGUCAUUGGCCUAACGUAAGAUUCCUGCCUGAAGCCCAUUCCAUUGUCCUUGGCCAAUGUCAGAUUUCUAUCAAGCGGCUCUAAAAGCUCUCCACAGCAAUUAAAUUAAUUUUGUAUCAAAUGUUUGCACAAGUCAGAUUUGGUUCAUAGGCUACAAAUAUUUAACUUUUCUGGUUGAAGAUUACAAAUGGAUAUGUAAGACCAGGAGAUGAAGAGAAAGAGAUAAGAUCUUUAAAUGUGGCUUCCUCUAAGAGACAGAGAAGGAAAAACUAUGGGAUUUAAUUGAAUCCCAGUUGAUGUUCUACCAAAUACUUAAUUUUUUUAAAUUAAUCUUUGUUUUGAAUGAUGAUUGUGGGGGUGGCUGUGGUAGUUAUAGUGGUUGUGGUGGUGGUGGCGGUGGUGGCAGUGGUGUGUGUAUAAGAAGCCUCUGUACUGAAACUAGACCUUGAGAAAAACAGACAAUAAAUGAGAUAUGUCACUCUAGCAUAUAAA
rnacentral:lncRNA from 1 species